rnacentral:rRNA from 1 species
AUGCCGACCGAGCUGAAGCGCGCUGCGGAGGAUGGUGAUGAUUCCACUUCCACCCGUCUUCGCCGGAAAAUCGUAGUUCCAGAAAAGCCGGUCUAUCUGGUGGUGGAGCACAAGGCGGAGCCAGCGUACUCCAUCCUCAGUGUUGGCACAAUGGCGCCUAAGAUCCCGCUGCACCUCAGCCAACGCGGCAUGUCGUUCACUGCCAUGGAGUCGCCGCAGGGGUCCUGGAUCGUUGGCGUGGGCGGGGACGAGCAGAAUCACACCACCAUCUUCGAUGUCACGGCCUCCAAGGAGUGGCAGGGCCCGUGGCUCCAUACCAAUAAGAUGGAGCCCAUCCUGAUUCCACACCGCGGCCAGCUCUACGUGCUCUCCAGCCGCCCCUCCGUGAAGAGGGGGGCGAUGGGGCUCGACUACCUUCCCUGGUUCGAGCAGAUUAACUUCGAGGACGGCCGCCCUAACCAAGCCGAGGUUUGCCUAGAACUCGAGCCGCCGCCCAUCUUUCCGUGCCGCAUCACCCCGCCUGAGUACAGGAACCCGCCGGCUAUACGCGUUGCCUCUUACGCCAUGGUUGGCUCCCAUAUUUUGCUCUCCGUGCAACUGGACAAUGUGACCAGCCCCGACAAGUUUGCCAGGAAAUACAGGAAAUACAUGGGAACCUGCGGGUACGACGUGGAGAAGAAGGUGUGGGAGAUGGUGCAUGAGAUGAAUCUUCCUUUCCUUGGCCAGGCGGUGCCCCCUCCGCGACCAACUCUUUCUUGCCCGCUCCAAAGAGAGGGACGGCGCUUAUGCAGUGUACUACAUGCAUGUCGGCCCGACCCUGUUCUGGGGGAACUUCUCUUCCCUUUGGGAAGGGGCCGGUUCUCUUCUGUUCACUUUCGAUCUGUCGAUGCUGAGCCGGAGUCCAAGUUGGGCAAACCAAGUGUUGUACAUGGCACCUACUCUAUUGUGAAAGAAAAUUUCGAUGAUGCUAUAAUAAUGAAGCAGCAGCGGCAAGUUUACAAAGUAGCUGAUCGGUCGUGUCCAUUGGCUCAUCCUUUCCCUAUGGUUGCUGCUUUCGCAAUGUAA